UCUUCCCUGGGUUUUGAAUUUGCAGUUACAGGUGUGAACAUUCUAGCAGCAGUUUGAUGAUCAUGUAUGAUACUGCAAACAGGCUCUUCCCUGA
rnacentral:miRNA from 1 species